AAUUGGGUCAUAUUUACAGAAAACAUAGUGCAAUUCAAUUGGAUAAAUGAUCUCAAUAAUCUAAAGGUUUAGAUAUCAGUAGCAAAUGGGUAAAAUGGCAAUGACAAACAACAGGACAAAGAUAAGGAAAUACUCGUUUUCACUCAGAAGCCGUGUCCAUCUAAACUGCACAUGGAUGGCGGCACCAUCAGUCAAGACAGUGAACAUCAUCCAUCUGGAGUUCAGAAGGGCAUCUGCUUUCCAGAAACUCCUGAAAUUAAAUUCUACAUUUUGACCAGAGGUGAUGGUUAACAAAUCAGGCAUUGCAGCUGAAAAAGAUCUUCAAGACUCUUGUUCAAGUCAACAGCAAUUGCUGCCAGAACUGACAUCCUGAAAGGAAAAGAAAGGCUCAAGAGGUUCGAAAUGACAGAACAAUGAUUACUAAAGCACCAAAUUAUUCUUUGGAACCAUACAAUCAUCAAAACUGAGACUCAGGACAAGUACAAUCAAAACUCUGAAAUUCAAUCUAAUGAGAUGACAGUGUGAGUUAGUUAAAAAUCUGAAUUACAGGGUAGUGGAAAGACAUUCACUUUUAGAAUUAAAGGAUUUUAAAGGGAAGCAACUUCUAAGAUCACACAAGUUGCAAAUGCAU